ACGAGUAUCUCGCGCCCGAGCUCGAGACCAACGAGUACACUUGUGUCACGUUUACUCGAAUCGGGUCGGCAAAUUAGAGUUGUAAUCGAACUCGCCGAUCAACGAACACAGAUAAAACUGAAGGCGUUUUGGGAUCGAUCUCAUCACUUUUGUCCUCGAGUUGCCCCCUCAUCCUGCCGGCCGCCGGGACCCUGCCCUCGCCGUGCCUGCUGUUAGGUUCCGAUCCUGGUCUCCGCCGGUCCGGCCGGCGUACGUCGACCGCGAUGGCCUUCCCUCACAUGCCGUUCUUAGUACCCGCCAGGCCGCGGGGGAACCUCGCGUACGUGGAUCUGGAACCGAGGCCGAGCCAGGCCACCAGGAAGUUCCUCAGGCUCUUCGCCACGUGUUUUGCAGCAACUCUUGGCAUUGGGAUGUUGGUCUGGUUGUUUGUAUUGCGGUAUGCAUACCACGAUCCUGAGUUGGAGAACAACUUCGGAAUGGUAGCGCUCUCCUUCGUGGCUCUCCUUCUGAUGGGAUCCGGCUUCCUCAUUACGCUUGAAGACGGAGAGGCAUAUGCGUAGCUUGGCUUAUGCUGGUAGUAUUUCAGAGAGAACCUUUUUCUGAUUCUUGGAAGCUAGAGGUUACCAUAUUAGCUUCUCACUUCUAUGGUAGCGGUUGGAAAUUAGCUCAUUAUGCAUUCUGCUUCAUGUCUCCUCAUUGCAAGGAGUAUCUCAAUAAAAUCCACCAUGGCUUGCUUAUACCCA